rnacentral:rRNA from 1 species
CCUACGGGAGGCAGCAGUGGGGAAUAUUGCGCAAUGGGGGCAACCCUGACGCAGCCAUGCCGCGUGAAUGAAGAAGGCCUUCGGGUUUGUAAAGUUCUUUCGGUGACGAGGAAGGUUGUUGUGUGAAUAGCACAACAAAUUGACGUUAAUCACAGAAGAAGCACCGGCUAACUCCGUGCCAGCAGCCGCGGUAAUACGGAGGGUGCGAGCGUUAAUCGGAAUAACUGGGCGUAAAGGGCACGCAGGCGGACUUUUAAGUGAGGUGUGAAAUCCCCGGGCUUAACCUGGGAAUUGCAUUUCAGACUGGGGGUCUAGAGUACUUUAGGGAGGGGUAGAAUUCCACGUGUAGCGGUGAAAUGCGUAGAGAUGUGGAGGAAUACCGAAGGCGAAGGCAGCCCCUUGGGAAUGUACUGACGCUCAUGUGCGAAAGCGUGGGGAGCAAACAGGAUUAGAUACCCUGGUAGUC